UAAUACGGAGGGUCCAAGCGUUGUCCGGAAUCACUGGGUGUAAAGGGUGCGCAGGCGGGCUUGUAAGUCAGAGGUGAAAUCCCCCGGCCUAACCGGGGAACUGCCUUUGAUACUGCAAGUCUUGAGUCUUGGAGAGGUUGCCAGAAUUCGUGGUGUAGCGGUGAAAUGCGUAGAUAUCACGAGGAAUACCUGAGGCGUAGGCGGGCAACUGGAAAGUACUGACGCUGAGGCACGAAAGCGUGGGGAGCGAACAGGAUUAGAUACCCUGGUAGUCCACGCCGUAAACGAUGGAUGCUCGAUGCUGGUCCGUUUCAGGGGCAGUGUCCAAGCUAACGCGUUAAGCAUCCCACCUGGGGAGUACGAUCGCAAGGUUG
rnacentral:rRNA from 1 species